UUUCUUUUCCCGCCUGGAGAAACAAACAGAAGAGCUGAGGAGAGGGUUGGGUGGUUACAAACAGGCUGCCACCAUUAUCAAAACAUGGCUGCUCUCGCUGGAAAAUUGAACAUAAAAAAACGUCUGCUGGCUGUGAAAACCAAACAGGCCGUGAGGAGGAGCUAAAACGGGGAAAAGACAAGACGUGGAGACCAUAAACUAACACGUAUGUCAGAUACAAUCAGGGUGAAAUUCGAGACACGUCUCCGGAAACAAAAGAAAUCCACAGUUUACCAGAGCUUCGACUGAAGAUUGACAGCAAUGUUUGAGUUCUGCUUGUGUUAGCUGUGUGGCUCCAGUGAUGACGGGUUUUGUUGGUCCAUACUGUUGCUUGAAAGAUUAAAUCUGAAACAGAACCAUCUGGAAUUAAAAAACCCAAUCCAUCAGGUGAUCCAGAUUGCUGUAAAUCCCAUCAAAGAAAAUCUGACAGUUUACCUUUGUUCAGUUACAGAUUACCAGCCCACUGAGAAUUUUAUGGUCUAAAAGAGGUCUAAUAGACGUCUAAGUGUAGUCUAGACGACGGUCUAAAAUCAGGCUACCACAGGUCUAAAAAUGAAAGUUUUCAGACGUCUAAAUUUAGACCGAGUUUAGUCUAGCCAGCUAACAGAGGUCUACCAGUAAUUAUUUUGGUUUAGUUCUUGGAGAUCAGUUAUGCAACUCACAGUUGCUUUUUGAAAUAAAUACUUAUCGAAUAGCGGGUUAAAGUGCAACGUCUAAAUUCCGUCUACAGAUAUACAGAAUCUAGACGGUUGAAAUUAGGUCUAAAAAAUAACUAGAUGUCUAAUAACCAUCUAUUGCUCAGUGGGAGUGUUGUAAAUAAGUUGAUGUCCUUCACACUUCGUGCCAAAAUCCACACAAAAGAUCCUUGCAGUCAAAGUCCCUGUACACUAAAGAGAUAUAUAAUCACGUUUGCCCACAGACUCAGGUUCAGUUUUCUGAGUUGGUGCUCAUAAUCCUGUCAGUGGAUGCAGGUCUCUGUGGACACUUUCCCAUCGGCACAUUUUGGUUUACUGGUGUUUUUGUGAGUCCCCUCUCAUCAGAUGUACCGCUGGUGGUUCAGAACCAAUAGCUGUGCAGAAAUUGAUGGUCUUCUUGUGGUUCUAGUAAAGCUGGACCACCUCUGUCUGUUUUUCAGGAGUGGAUGGACACAGUGUUUCCUUUUCUCUUUUUCUGAAAGUGAAAGACCCACAGAGUCACCCUCACUGCUGGCUGAUUCAGUUUUUGUUCUGGAAAUUUUCGCAGUGAAAAGCAGCAGACCUGGUGUGUAUGCCGUUGUUUUACGGGAUCACAGAUGCAAUGAAAUCUGAGAAUAACUGUCUCAGGGCUUGUUAGAAUAAUGUGCAUAAAUGUAUAUAGAAGUUAUUCCUCAUAUUCUUAUGUAAGAGUUUAUACUACAAGUAUAAACUGCGUUGACAUCUUUUUAUGCAUUAUAUAAGAGUAUUUUUAUCAUAUAAGAGUGUUUCCUAACUUCUCUCUUCAAUAGCUUAACUACACAGUACACAAUGUUUCUUUCAGUUUUCUGUGACCGUGUUUUUUCCUAUCAGCAGGUGUGGGUGUGGGGGUGAAGUAUCCUCCGCUGUGAAUCAUGGAAAUUAGAGGAGGAGCCGCUCUUAUCAGAAGGAGUUCGUUAGAUGCCGCCUUGACCUUCACAUAUUCACAGUUGUUCAUUAUUAUGUUUUAUGAGAGUGCUUACUUUGCUACACAAAUUUUUCCCCACCCUUUAGAAACAUUGUGUGACCAG